GCCCCUCAUCUCCAUCUUUCCAACAUGAACAGUAUCUGAGUCACCGGCAAGGCAGGCUAUUCCAACCAGAAAGACGCUGAUAUAAGAUGGCUCUUCUCUUUUCCUUGCUCACCCUGUUCCACUUUCAGCCACGGACAAGUCUAUUUCCCUGGAGAAUGUUGUGGAAAAUCAGUUUGCAUGAAGAUUUGUACUUAUCUAUGAAGUCUUUGUUUGUGUAUCAUGGACCAAAAUAUUACCACCCAUCAGAAAAUCCCAGCUGGGUAGAGAGACCAGGAAGCAUUCGUCAAGUUGUUCACAAUGGCUAUCCUCAACUGUGCAGCCAUAUUCUCAGGUAUGCUUUGUAUCCUUGUAAGCCUUCCUGAACAGGUUCUGCCUGCCUCCAUCACAAUGUAGAAGCCCCC
ensembl:lincRNA